rnacentral:rRNA from 1 species
AGUGAACGCUGGCGGCAGGCCUAAUACAUGCAAGUCGAACGGCAGCACAGCAGAGCUUGCUCUGUGGGUGGCGAGUGGCGGACGGGUGAGGAAUACAUGGGAAUCUGCCCAGUCGUGGGGGAUAACGUAGGGAAACUUACGCUAAUACCGCAUGCGCCCUUCGGGGGAAAGCCGGGGACCCGUAAGGCCUGCGCGAUUGGAUGAGCCCAUGUCGGAUUAGCUAGUUGGCGGGUAAAGGCCCACCAAGGCGACGAUCCGUAGCUAGGUCUGAGAGGAAUGAUCAGCCACACUGGAACUGAGACAGGUCCAGACUCCUACGGAGCAGCCAGUAGGGAAUAUU